rnacentral:rRNA from 1 species
GUGGGGAAUAUUGCACAAUGGGCGAAAGCCUGAUGCAGCGACGCCGCGUGAGCGAAGAAGUAUUUCGGUAUGUAAAGCUCUAUCAGCAGGGAAGAAGAAAUGACGGUACCUGACUAAGAAGCACCGGCUAAAUACGUGCCAGCAGCCGCGGUAAUACGUAUGGUGCAAGCGUUAUCCGGAUUUACUGGGUGUAAAGGGAGCGCAGGCAGUACGGCAAGUCUGAUGUGAAAGCCCGGGGCUCAACCCCGGUACUGCAUUGGAAACUGUCGGACUAGAGUGUCGGAGGGGUAAGCGGAAUUCCUAGUGUAGCGGUGAAAUGCGUAGAUAUUAGGAGGAACACCAGUGGCGAAGGCGGCUUACUGGACGAUUACUGACGCUGAGGCUCGAAAGCGUGGGGAGCAAACAGGAUUAGAUACCCUAGUAGUCC